CUCACAUACUAAAUGUGUUAUACCUUUAUCUUCCACUACAUCAGUAUCCCUUUUAUCUCUCUUUAAAUAUUUAGGAAUCUGUAAUCUGUUACUCUUUCAAUUAUUUCUUCCAAAGGUUAUCAGCUCUAUCAUUUGUCUUUUACAUCUUUAAAGGUCCUUGGAGCAAAAUGGCCAAUGGUCAAAUGUUGUGGAAUUACCCUUGGACAAAUAAACCCAGUGCCAUUUGACCGAGAAGAGUUGGUUAGACUGAUCCAAAAUCAAAUCAACCCUCUGUGUAAGACCUAGAUCGACAAACCAGAGAUGUACAUCCAGUGUUGGAGUUCAAGCAUCCAACAUGAUUUUACUUUCGAAUUGCCUCUUUGGAGAGAAAGCGUUGGACAAUUCCAGAUGGAGAAUCUCAUCUCGUGAAGAAGUGGAUCCUUUGUAACAACAAACCCUAUCAUUUAGAUUCCAGAUCGACAACUUCAUCCACUGCCAAUGCCGUAGAAGAAGCCUCUCUUUCAGAUUUAUCUCACCGAUAGCAAACCCUCUCCUUUAGAUUCAUCUCACUGAUCGCCCAGAAAAUCCUUUAUUUUUUUCUUUCAGUUUCAUCUCAAGAUCGCAACGCCAAACCCCCUCCUUUGAUUAUUUUGAUCAGAUUCCUUCUUAUAGAAACCUAGCCAUCGUAUCACCUUCAAUCUUGUUGUAAUGGGUUGUGGUUCUUAAAUAAAAGCUACUCUAUUGUGCAGAGAAAGGGAGAAGUCGUUAAAAAAAAAAAAAACAUUGUGCAAAUUCUGUGCACAGUGCAAAGAGCCAAAGAGUCCCACUGAUUUGGUUACACGUCAGCUGACAGAAAAACCUGCAAAACAGGGAUUGUCUAAUAACUUCCCCACCCUAUUAACCAAACAUCUCAAAAUUCUAAAUUUUUGAGAGAAUUCUUACAAUUAUCCCACCCCAUGAGAACCGCUAUUUGGAGUGAUGUUGGUGGACAAGAAUCCGUUCCCAACAAUCAACGUGGUAAACGCUUUUGACUGGGCAAAACUUUUGGCAAUGUUGCGGCCAGCAACCAAAGAAAAGAAGGCCGCCCCAUGGCUUUUGUCAACCCGAUCGACGUUGGCCAAAUUAGAAGACAUAUGGAUGGCAGGCCCAUUGGAUCUCUAAUCGCAGUACCUCAACAAAUUUUCCAUGAUGCAGGUGGUAAAGUAUUUUUUCUUUCAUAAAGCAUUCCCUACAUCUGAUUGCAAUUGAUUUU